UUAAGUGGUGUAAAGGUAACACAUCGAUCUGCAAAAUCGAUAUUACUUGUUCAAUUCAAGUCUUAA
rnacentral:tRNA from 1 species